CCGGAUUGGUAGUGGUCAGACAUCGGAGAGUGGCCUCCAACUCCUGGUUCAUUCGUUCGACUUGCCCGUUUGACUGUGGGUGAAAACCAGAGACGGCCACCAAAAACGUCGAUUUACUAGAGCUACCGUUCUGCUGAUACCUGGAUGAGCAGAAAACUUCGAGGAGUGCAACCAACUGAUGACACGGGCACGAGUGGCUGUAGGUCACUGUGGCUACCGAGCAACUAGGAGGUAGGAUGGGGGCAGGCCCCUUCUCAGAGUCAUCUGGGGAGAAGAGUCGGGAUAAGGCGUCC